AAAUUGAAGAGUUUGAUCAUGGCUCAGAUUGAACGCUGGCGGCAGGCCUAACACAUGCAAGUCGAACGGUAACAGGAAGCAGCUUGCUGCUUUGCUGACGAGUGGCGGACGGGUGAGUAAUGUCUGGGAAACUGCCUGAUGGAGGGGGAUAACUACUGGAAACGGUGGCUAAUACCGCAUAACGUCGCAAGACCAAAGAGGGGGACCUUCGGGCCUCUUGCCAUCAGAUGUGCCCAGAUGGGAUUAGCUUGUUGGUGAGGUAACGGCUCACCAAGGCGACGAUCCCUAGCUGGUCUGAGAGGAUGACCAGCCACACUGGAACUGAGACACGGUCCAGACUCCUACGGGAGGCAGCAGUGGGGAAUAUUGCACAAUGGGCGCAAGCCUGAUGCAGCCAUGCCGCGUGUAUGAAGAAGGCCUUCGGGUUGUAAAGUACUUUCAGCGGGGAGGAAGGUGUUGCGGUUAAUAACCGCAGCAAUUGACGUUACCCGCAGAAGAAGCACCGGCUAACUCCGUGCCAGCAGCCGCGGUAAUACGGAGGGUGCAAGCGUUAAUCGGAAUUACUGGGCGUAAAGCGCACGCAGGCGGUCUGUCAAGUCGGAUGUGAAAUCCCCGGGCUCAACCUGGGAACUGCAUUCGAAACUGGCAGGCUUGAGUCUUGUAGAGGGGGGUAGAAUUCCAGGUGUAGCGGUGAAAUGCGUAGAGAUCUGGAGGAAUACCGGUGGCGAAGGCGGCCCCCUGGACAAAGACUGACGCUCAGGUGCGAAAGCGUGGGGAGCAAACAGGAUUAGAUACCCUGGUAGUCCACGCCGUAAACGAUGUCUACUUGGAGGUUGUGCCCUUGAGGCGUGGCUUCCGGAGCUAACGCGUUAAGUAGACCGCCUGGGGAGUACGGCCGCAAGGUUAAAACUCAAAUGAAUUGACGGGGGCCCGCACAAGCGGUGGAGCAUGUGGUUUAAUUCGAUGCAACGCGAAGAACCUUACCUGGUCUUGACAUCCACAGAAGAAUCCAGAGAUGGAUUUGUGCCUUCGGGAACUGUGAGACAGGUGCUGCAUGGCUGUCGUCAGCUCGUGUUGUGAAAUGUUGGGUUAAGUCCCGCAACGAGCGCAACCCUUAUCCUUUGUUGCCAGCGAUUAGGUCGGGAACUCAAAGGAGACUGCCAGUGAUAAACUGGAGGAAGGUGGGGAUGACGUCAAGUCAUCAUGGCCCUUACGACCAGGGCUACACACGUGCUACAAUGGCGCAUACAAAGAGAAGCGACCUCGCGAGAGCAAGCGGACCUCAUAAAGUGCGUCGUAGUCCGGAUUGGAGUCUGCAACUCGACUCCAUGAAGUCGGAAUCGCUAGUAAUCGUGGAUCAGAAUGCCACGGUGAAUACGUUCCCGGGCCUUGUACACACCGCCCGUCACACCAUGGGAGUGGGUUGCAAAAGAAGUAGGUAGCUUAACCUUCGGGAGGGCGCUUACCACUUUGUGAUUCAUGACUGGGGUGAAGUCGUAACAAGGUAACCGUAGGGGAACCUGCGGUUGGAUCACCUCCUUACCUUAAAGAA
rnacentral:rRNA from 2 species